UCCGAGUUGACCCCGGCAGUCUCCCAUGAGUCCCCGGCAUAACCCGCUGGCAACACAGGACAAGGGUUGCGCUCGUUGCGGGACUUAACCCAACAUCUCACGACACGAGCUGACGACAACCAUGCACCACCUGUACACCGACCUUGCGGGGCACCCAUCUCUGAAGGUUUUCCGGCGAUGUCAAACCCAGGUAAGGUUCUUCGCGUUGCAUCGAAUUAAUCCACAUGCUCCGCCGCUUGUGCGGGCCCCCGUCAAUUCCUUUGAGUUUUAGCCUUGCGGCCGUACUCCCCAGGCGGGGUGCUUAAUGCGUUUGCGACGGCACGGAAGGGGUUGAUGCCUCCCACACCUAGCACCCAACGUUUACGGCUGGGACUAC
rnacentral:misc_RNA from 1 species